rnacentral:rRNA from 1 species
GGUUCAUUCAAAUUUCUGCCCUAUCAACUUUCGACGGCUGGGUCUUGGCCAGCCGUGGUGACAACGGGUAACGGAGGGUAAGGGCUCGACCCCGGAGAAGGAGCCUGAGAAACGGCUACUACAUCCAAGGAAGGCAGCAGGCGCGCAAAUUACCCAAUCCCGACCGGGGAGGUAGUGACAAUAAAUACUGAUACAGGGCUCUUUCGGGUCUUGUAAUUGGAAUGAGUACAAUUUAAAUCCCUUAACGAGGAACAAUUGGAGGGCAAGUCUGGUGCAGGCAGCCGGGUAAUUCCAGCUCCAAUAGCGUAUAUUACAGUUGUGAGGUUAAAAAGCUCGUAGUUG